UGCCAGCAGCCGCGGUAAUACGUAGGCAGCAAGCGUUGUUCGGAGUUACUGGGCGUAAAGGGUGUGUAGGCGGUUUGGUAAGUCUGGUGUGAAAUCUCCCGGCUCAACUGGGAGGGUGCGCCGGAAACUGCCGGACUCGAGUGCGGGAGAGGAGAGUGGAAUUCCUGGUGUAGCGGUGAAAUGCGUAGAUAUCAGGAGGAACACCGGCGGUGUAGACGGCUCUCUGGACCGUAACUGACGCUGAAACACGAAAGCGUGGGUAGCAAACAGGAUUAGAUACCCUGGUAGUCCACGCCCUAAACGAUGCAUAUUUGGUGUGGGUCAUUCAGUUGAUCCGUGCCGGAGCUAACGCGUUAAAUAUGCCGCCUGGGGAGUACAGUCGCAAGGCUGAAACUCAAAGGAAUUGACGGGGGCCCGCACAAGCGGUGGAGCAUGUGGUUCAAUUCGACGCAACGCGAAGAACCUUACCUGGGCUCGAACGGCUGGUUAACGGCGGUGGAAACAUCGCUACUCCGCAAGGGGGUCCAGUCGAGGUGCUGCAUGGCUGUCGUCAGCUCGUGUCGUGAGAUGUUGGGUUAAGUCCCGCAACGAGCGCAACCCUUGUCCUGUGUUGCCAUG
rnacentral:rRNA from 1 species